CCUACGGGAGGCAGCAGUGAGGAAUAUUGCUCAAUGGUCGAGAGCCUGACCCAGCGACGCCGCGUGAGGGAUGAAGGUUUUCAGAUCGUAAACCUCUUUCAGAAGGGAAGCAGUUGCAUGGGCCCAAUCACCUGUGCAUUUACGUUACCUUAAAAGGACGCACAGGCUAACUCCGUGCCAGCAGCCACGGUAAUACGGAGGGUGCUAGCGUUAAUCGGAAUUACUGGGCGUAAAGGGCACGUAGGCUGUAUGUCAAGUCAAGGGGGAAAUCCCACGGCUCAACCGUGGAACUGCCUUUGAAACUGGCAAACUGGAGUAUGUGAGAGGGAGGCGGAAU
rnacentral:rRNA from 1 species